rnacentral:rRNA from 1 species
UACGUAGGGGGCAAGCGUUGUCCGGAAUUAUUGGGCGUAAAGAGCGCGCAGGCGGUCGUUCAAGUCGCGUGUGAAAGCCCCCGGCUCAACUGGGGAGGGUCACGCGAUACUGAUCGACUCGAAGGCAGGAGAGGGAAGUGGAAUUCCCGGUGUAGUGGUGAAAUGCGUAGAUAUCGGGAGGAACACCAGUGGCGAAGGCGACUUCCUGGCCUGUUCUUGACGCUGAGGCGCGAAAGCGUGGGGAGCAAACAGG